UACGUAGGGGCCUAGCGUUGUCCGGAUUUAUUGGGCGUAAAGAGCUCGUAGGCGGUUCGGUAAGUCAGGUGUGAAACCUCCAGGCUCAACCUGGAGACGCCACCCGAUACUGCUGUGACUAGAGUCCGGUAGGGGAGCGUGGAAUUCCUGGUGUAGCGGUGAAAUGCGCAGAUAUCAGGAGGAACACCAGCGGCGAAGGCGGCGCUCUGGGCCGGAACUGACGCUGAGGAGCGAAAGCGUGGGUAGCAAACAGG
rnacentral:rRNA from 1 species